UUUAGGAUCUGUUUGAUAUAUCUACCAAGUUUUGUUGAAAAAUAUUGAACGUUUUUCAUGCUCCGGAAAUGAAAUGAUUACGGAUGGACAGAC